rnacentral:rRNA from 1 species
GUGGGGAAUCUUCCGCAAUGGACGAAAGUCUGACGGAGCAACGCCGCGUGAGUGAUGAAGGUCUUCGGAUUGUAAAGCUCUGUUAAUCGGGACGAAAGAGCCUAGUGUGAAUAAUGCUAGGAAGUGACGGUACCGGAAUAGAAAGCCACGGCUAACUACGUGCCAGCAGCCGCGGUAAUACGUAGGUGGCAAGCGUUGUCCGGAAUUAUUGGGCGUAAAGCGCGCGCAGGCGGAUCUGCCAGUCUGUCUUAAAAGUUCGGGGCUUAACCCCGUGAUGGGAUGGAAACUACAGAUCUAGAGUAUCGGAGAGGAAAGUGGAAUUCCUAGUGUAGCGGUGAAAUGCGUAGAUAUUAGGAAGAACACCAGUGGCGAAGGCGACUUACUGGGCCGUAACUGACGCUGAGGCGCGAAAGCGUGGGGAGCGAACAGGAUUAGAAACCCUAGUAGUCC